UGGGGAAUUUUGGACAAUGGGCGAAAGCCUGAUCCAGCAAUGCCGCGUGUGUGAAUAAGGCCUUCGGGUUGUAAAGCACUUUUGUCCGGAAAGAAAUCCUUGGCUCUAAUACAGUCGGGGGAUGACGGUACCGGAAGAAUAAGCACCGGCUAACUACGUGCCAGCAGCCGCGGUAAUACGUAGGGUGCAAGCGUUAAUCGGAAUUACUGGGCGUAAAGCGUGCGCAGGCGGUUUGCUAAGACCGAUGUGAAAUCCCCGGGCUCAACCUGGGAACUGCAUUGGUGACUGGCAGGCUAGAGUAUGGCAGAGGGGGGUAGAAUUCCACGUGUAGCAGUGAAAUGCGUAGAGAUGUGGAGGAAUACCGAUGGCGAAGGCAGCCCCCUGGGCCAAUACUGACGCUCAUGCACGAAAGCGUGGGGAGCAAACAGGAUUAGAUACCCUGGUAGUCCACGCCCUAAAACGAUGUCAACUAGUUGUUGGGGAUUCAUUUCCUUAGUAACGUAGCUAACGCGUGAAGUUGACCGCCUGGGGAGUACGGUCGCAAGAUU
rnacentral:rRNA from 1 species